rnacentral:piRNA from 1 species
UGAACUGAAUGUAAAGGGACACACAGGAGC